UGAGAUGGCUCGGGCUGCUCGGUGUCACAGAAAGUUUGAGCCCCCGGGCCGGUGCGUGGCCCUCUCCUGGACUCUGCUCCCCGGUUUCCCCGCUGGAAGCUUUGUCCUCUCCCUCGGAGGCUUCCCCUGCCCCGCAUGGAAUGACAAAGGAAGCGUCGUGCUUCCCCAGGCUCCCCACACCCUCCGUGCCGGAGCCAGGGAAUGACUUCAGAGCUGUCGCGGCUGUCGUUAGCAAGGAUCGCUUGUACCUCAAACCCUGACAUGAGUGAGUCCUGAAAAACACCCUCAGCACGUUCUGAAAGAGCCUCAGCUCUCUGGGACUGCCAAGGAGCCAAGUGCCACCUGUGUCACCAGAGCUGCAGAAUUAUCCACAGACACAUCCCUCUGUACCUCCCCUAGAGCAACAAGGGAGAGCAGAAUGCUUCAGGCUCUCAAGAAUUCCUGCUUAUUCAGCCUCAAUUUUGUUGCUUUGCCACCAAACCCACCUCUGAGAAAACCCCACGUUCAUCAGGUAGAUGAAUUUAAGCCUCCAUGUUGCCUAUGAACUCCUUGUUUUUCCCACUGGAGUUUUCUCCAUGUGGAACCUGUUCCCUGCAAGGGUCACCAAAAUCAUUGCGAGGCCUGAGCUGGUGAAAGGAGUAAAACUUGCAGAGAAAGAUGUUUUAUUAUUUUCAGAAGUCAGUAUUCCAAAGCUGAUGGCUCACUCUGCUCUCUCUGAGCCCUUUCUGACAUACUUCAGGUAUGUAUUUAACAUCGAGGAGUGGACCCCUUUAUCCCCAGCCUUAAUGCUUUUCUCCACUGUGGGACCAGCUAAUGCACAAAAGUAACUUUCCUCAGUGUUAUCUUCAAAGCUGGGAACAUAUUUAGUUGCACAUUACAAUAACUCCAUUCAUAUUUCAUGAGUUUUUAAGUUCAGCCUGUCAGCAUGGACAGCUCAUCACUGAUCCAUCAGGAAAAUGCUGUGAAAAAACAAGCAACUUAUUGUGCUUUUAGCAUAUGAAAUUGCUGCAUGCUUCCCUCAAGGAUAUUAAAAAGAUCUGUGCCGUGGUUAUCAAUAAGUAUGUUUCAGGAUCAGCAUUUAUAAAGCUUCUAGAAUGGCUGCAGCUCUUGACUGACUUCAGAAAUCAAGGAAUUUCUCACAAAAAGCAAAAUCAUAGCUUAAAGUCAACUGCUCUUCAGUUUUGCUGCUUUGAACUUCAAUAUUCAUCUUGAUGACCAGAACCUAAUUAUGAAGUAAUUUUAUUAUUAGAGCUGGGUUGAAAAUCUUCAUCUUAUUUCUUGAAAAAACAGAGGGGAAGGGAGAAGAUCAAGAGGAGCAAAUUCACUGAAAUUUUGAUAAAUCAUCAAAAAAUCAGAAAAUCCAUUUUAAAUAUUGAUUCCUUGUGUGACUAGAAAAUAAAUUCUCUCUUAUUUCUUUUUUAUUACAAAAGAUACUUACAUGGCCUUAGUUAUUUUAGCACCUAAUCAUCACCUGAUAGUCCCUGAGCCAGGGAAUACCAUUGUUUCUUCAUGUUGCACCAGCAAACAAAAAGAUCCCUGAAGACCUUGAUAAGAAACACAGAAUCACAGAAUGGUUUAGGUUGCAAAGGACCUCAAAGCCCAUCUCAUCUCCCCCCCUGCCAUGGGCAGAGACAUCCCAGGCUGCUCCAAACCCCAUCCAGCCUGGCCUUGGGCACUGCCAGGGAUCCAGGGGCAGCCACAGCUUCCCUGGGCACCCUGUGCCAGGGCCUGCCCACCCUCACAGGGAACAAUUCCUGCCCAAUAUCCCAUCCCUCCCUGCCCUCUGACAGCGGUGGGCCAUUCCCUGGGGUUCAAAUUCCAAGGAAACCAAGAGAUGACACAAAAGACCUGCCCAGAACUGAAGCCUUUAGGAGCCUUCAGGACAAGAGGUCGGUUUGUCACCAGACCCUUGAGUCCCAGGCUGACACACUCAGCUGCUGGGCCCUGCACCAGCACUGCAGUACAGCCGUGCCUGUGGGGAGCAGGGAAAUGCUGGAAGAUCCCAAAGUCAGAUUGCACCAUCCCUGUAGUACAGCCGUGCCUGUGGGGAGUAGGGAAACGCUGGAAGAUCCCAAAGUCAGAUUGCACCAUCCCUGCAGUACAGCCGUGCCUGUGGGGAGCAGGGAAAUGCUGGAAGAUCCCAAAGUCAGAUUGCACCAUCCCUGUAGUACAGCCAUGCCUGUGGGGAGCAGGGAAAUGCUGGAAGAUCCCAAAGUCAAAUUGCACCAUCCCUGUUCCUAUUGACAUUGGGACUGCCCUUACCCAUGACUGCCAGAAGUGCAGGUCUGACUCUGCAGCCAAGACAAAGCCCAGAACUCAAUAUCCAAAGGCCAGAGGUCAGUUUGCUCAGAUGGAGGAGCCCUCUCAGGGCUCAGCUGCCUCCCCCAAAGCCUGCUCUUGCUUUCUGUAGCAAUCUGGCCUCUCCCACCUCAGAGGAGAGCCCAGAAAUGGAGUGUCCCCUCUUGGCUGCUGCCUGAGCCUGCCUCUGAGGACUUUCUAGAUGCUGCAGCUCAUGCUCCAGAAGGAGGAUUUGUCCCCUGGCUUACACCAAGCACUCAGCCUAGGGUCAAAGCUCAAAGCCUUUUCUGAACCCUCCAUGGCCCUGCCCAUACUCCUGCUGCCCCCAGCAGGACCAUGCUGGGCAGGAUGAGAGUCCAGAGUCAUGGAGUCUGCACUGAAGGUACAAACACAAGACUUGGCCACGGUGCAGCCAUAGAUGCCAGUGGAAAACUGACAUCCUUCUUUUAUUCCUUAUCCAUGAGAACCCUCCAUGUGUCAAUCUCAAAAUACAGACAGUGUUGUAUUAAAGAAAGCAAAUUUAAAAAAAAAAAAAAAAGUCCUGUGACUUUUACAAGCCACUGUGCACAAAUACUUGCCUGCUUAUGCCUUUUCAUGUAAUUCUUCUUUUGCAGUACUCAGAUGUCUCUUGCACUGUGCUUCAACUGGAUCCCAGCCACGCCAGGGCAGUGUUUAUCCUGCUGUGGUUCUGAAUGGUGGGCUGGCCAUAAUGCCAUCUGUAUUAUUAUACACUGCUUUAACCCAAAAAAUUUAAACCUCCCAAUAAAGAGGAACCACAGAUGGCAACAACUGCUUGACAAAUGCCAAUGUGAAUUGCGCCACACUGAUUAAA